UUGGAACCGGGAGAGGUAAGAGGUACGUACAGGGGUAGGAGUGAAAUCUUGUAAUCCCUGUGGGACCACCUGUGGCGAAGGCGUCUUACCAGAACGGGUUCGACGGUGAGGGACGAAAGCUGGGGGCACGAACCGGAUUAGAUACCCGGGUAGUCCCAGCCGUAAACGAUGCUCGCUAGGUGUCAGGCAUGGCGCGACCGUGUCUGGUGCCGCAGGGAAGCCGUGAAGCGAGCCACCUGGGAAGUACGGCCGCAAGGCUGAAACUUAAAGGAAUUGGCGGGGGAGCACAACAACGGGUGGAGUCCCUGCGGUUUAAUUGGACUCAACGCCGGUACAACUCACCGGGGGCGACAGCAAUAUGUAGGCCAAGCUGAAGACUUUGCCUGAAUCGCUGAGAGGAGGUGCAUGG
rnacentral:rRNA from 1 species